rnacentral:lncRNA from 1 species
GGGUGAUUGGUUAGUACAAGAGGGGGAUUCCUUUGAACUGAUUGGUUUAAGCCACGAGGGGAGUAUGUGCUGAACUACAUAGUUUCCCAACAUGUUAUCAACCACCAUAAACUACUUGGGGGUCAUCUGGCAUCCCAGGUAUUUUUCCUGUCUCAUGCCGAUUGGUGGUUGCUAGGGGUUGCUAUAGGUCCUCACCUAGCCUAACUGAGUCAGGGACACCUGGCACCGCAGAUCUCUACUGUUAUUUGCAGACAAACAACUCAGCAAGGUGGGUAUAUGCCUAGGAGUACUCUGUGGGUUUUUCCAAGGACAAGGGUCACUCCCCUUUCCUUGGACAGGCUUUGCUCUGAGGUAGAGGCUGGUUUCUCAAAAAUGGAGUCACAUCAGUUUCUCAUCCCCCCCUUUGUCUGGAAACUUGGGGACCAAUCAUGGUUCCCUCAGUUGGAGGUUUAUUUGGGCAGGCCCUACAUCUUGGUAAACAGUCCCCCUCAGGGGACAGUCUUCACUUCCCAGACUCACUCAAAAUUGACCUCCUAGAUCCGACCUGACUCAAUUUACCUAUUUACACUGACUGUCUAUCUAUUUCUGGCUUCAGCCCCAAGCCAGCUGUAGACCAUAUUAUGCUCAUAUCCACUGAGUGCUGCCCAUAGUCCUUCUUGCUUUUUCCUCCCACCUUCCCUUUCUCCCCCUUCCCCUUCCUUCAUUCC